UAGGAAAUCUUCCGCAAUGGACGCAAGUCUGACGGAGCAACGCCGCGUGAGUGAAGAAGGAUUUCGGUUCGUAAAACUCUGUUGUUAGAGAAGAACAGCGCAUAGAGUAACUGUUAUGCGUGUGACGGUAUCUAACCAGAAAGCCACGGCUAACUACGUGCCAGCAGCCGCGGUAAUACGUAGGUGGCAAGCGUUGUCCGGAUUUAUUGGGCGUAAAGCGAGCGCAGGCGGUCAAUUAAGUCUGAUGUGAAAGCCCCCGGCUCAACCGGGGAGGGUCAGUGGAAACUGGUUGACUUGAGUGCAGAAGAGGAGAGUGGAAUUCCAUGUGUAGCGGUGAAAUGCGUAGAUAUAUGGAGGAACACCAGUGGCGAAGGCGACUCGCUGGUCUGUAACUGACGCUGAGGCUCGAAAGCGUGGGUAGCAAACAGG
rnacentral:rRNA from 1 species